GACAGAGGGGGCUAGCGUUGUUCGGAAUUACUGGGCGUAAAGCGCACGUAGGCGGAUAUUUAAGUCAGGGGUGAAAUCCCGCAGCUCAACUGCGGAACUGCCUUUGAUACUGGGUAUCUUGAGUAUGGAAGAGGUAAGUGGAAUUCCGAGUGUAGAGGUGAAAUUCGUAGAUAUUCGGAGGAACACCAGUGGCGAAGGCGGCUUACUGGUCCAUUACUGACGCUGAGGUGCGAAAGCGUGGGGAGCAAACAGG
rnacentral:rRNA from 1 species